rnacentral:rRNA from 1 species
AUGACGCAACCCCCAAUCCUCAGCCGAACUGCUCCGCGACAACCUCCCGGGCACUCUCCCCGCCGCCCGCACAACGCCCUCAUCGGCACGCUCUUCGCCAGAGCGGCCCGGAGCGGCAUGCACUGGAAGCCGGAGCCGGGAAGGAGUGCGGCCACCGCCGGGAGACAAGGGGAAGCGUGGUCGCGCUCUUUCGGGUCGGCCAUGGAGGCCGCGUGCAAGCCCGCGGCGCGGCGGCGCCCGUUCCCCCUCGCCUCUCUGGCCGCACCAGUCUCCUCCCAAAGGACGAAGUGGGCGCAUGUGUGGCGGCCGCCGGCAAACAAGGCCGCGCGCGAGCCCGCGGCGCUGCGGCGCCGAUCCCUCUUCCCCCUGCCGGUUUAA